UUAUGAUGUUUUUGAAUACCGCCCCAGUCGGAGAAAUGAUGUCGAUUGGUUAUAUUUGCUGAU
rnacentral:snoRNA from 1 species